rnacentral:lncRNA from 1 species
AUGCUCUGUUUGGGCUGGGUGUUUCUUUGGUUUGUUGCAGGAGAGAAGACCACAGGAUUUAACCAUUCAGCUUGCACCACCAAAAAACUUCUGUGGACAUAUUCUGCGAGGGGGGCCGAGAACUUUGUCCUAUUUUGUGACUUACAAGAGCUUCAGAAGCAAGAUUUCUCCCACAGAAGUCAAUCAUCAUCAACACUAGGUCCUGCUCACCAACCUUGCAGUGGCAGUGAGAAGGACCUCUCUGACGUCCAGUGGUACAUGCAACCUCGGAGUGGCGGUCCACUAGAGGAGAUCAAUAGAAACUCUCCUCAUAUGCAGAACAAAGGCACGCUGCGUAUAUUGGCCCCACAGAUGAACAGCAUUUGGUCAUAUAUUUGUAGACCCAGAAGUAGGUAUGUUCCCCAAAUCAUCCCAGUCUGAAAAUAUUCUCAAAUGUUCUUUUAUCUAGACAAGCGCUGACAGAACUUUCUCUGUCUCUCAGGAGGCCCCAGGAUACAGCUUGUUGUGUGAAGACUGUCUUGGAAGUUAAGCCUCAGAGAAAUAUAUCCU